GUUUUGAUAGUUUAAAUAAAAUAUUGGCUUGUGGAGCCAAAGAUAUGUUUUAAGACGUUUAGGACC
rnacentral:tRNA from 1 species